rnacentral:rRNA from 1 species
GAUGAACGCUGGCGGCGUGCCUAAUACGUGCAAGUCGAGCGAACAGACGAGGAGCUUGCUCCUCUGACGUUAGCGGCGGACGGGUGAGUAACACGUGGAUAACCUACCUAUAAGACUGGGAUAACUUCGGGAAACCGGAGCUAAUACCGGAUAAUAUAUUGAACCUCAUGGUUCAAUAGUGAAAGACGGUUUUGCUGUCACUUAUAGAUGGAUCCGCGCCGCAUUAGCUAGUUGGUAAGGUAACGGCUUACCAAGGCAACGAUGCGUAGCCGACCUGAGAGGGUAGUCGGCCACACUGGAACUGAGACACGGUCCAGACUCCUACGGGAGGCAGCAGUAGGGUAUCUUCGGCAAUAGGCGAAAGCCUGACAGAGCAACGCCGCGUGAGUGAUGAAGGUCUUCGGAUCGUAAAACUCUGUUAUUAGGGAAGAACGAAUGUGUAAGUAAAUAUGCUCGGCUUGACGGUACCUAAUCAGAAAGCCACGGCUAACUACGUG